UAUCUUUUUCUCUCAGUACUUUCAGAAAUGUUAACAACGUGUAUGAGCUGGUCCUACCUACACCAUAUUUUAUAACCAAAAACGUUGCCUAAGAUUGUAGGUUUGGCAUAGUCAUGACUAUUGAUUGAGCGUUGUUCAAGUCAGUUCAGCCAGUUUUAAUAUCAAUUCUCUAGUUAACUGACGUCAAAGAUUAAAUCUUUUUAAAACAAAAUUAAGCCUGCAAAGGAAUAGCGGCGGAGUGGCUUAUUUCAAUGCUAAGAAAGCAGAAAGGUUUAAAGCCAGUCAACUUUCAGGAACAAAAAAUUUUAAAAACAAAAUAAUUAGCAGAUAUUUAAUCAAAUUUCAGUAUUUUUAUUGCUUUUUUCCGAUUUGUUUGAUUUUAAGUGGAAAUCCACCUUAACGGAAAUGGUUUUUAUAUUCUUAUGUGGUUAAGUUUUUCUGUGAUUGGUUAAUGUGCACGAAAUAUACUACGGAAAAACGAGUGUAAGUUGCACCUAUUUUUCAAUGCCAUACUCCAGAAAGGUUACACUUUAUAAUUUGCUGAAUAUCGAGCAAAAUGAAAAUUUGUAGAGAAAUUCAUUCCAAAAUUUUUUACUCAAAACAUUAUUUUUAUAAAACAGACAAACGUUCGCGGUAAUGGGAAACAAAGGUCAAACUUUUUUUUUUUAUUUUCUUCACUUAAAAUGAAGUAUGAUGUGACAUGACAGACAUGUUUUUAUUAUUUAUUUUUACUCUAAUGUUGACUAGAAGCAAUUUAAAGUUUCAAUGGUUAUGAUGUCAUAGUUGCGUUAGGCUAUACUCAUAGUUAGUAUGUAGGUCAGAUCAAACAAAAUUCAGUAAACCUAACAGAUUAUUGGAAACUUUGAUAUCUUACCCUGAGGCAUAUUUAUACAUAAUAAAUUGCUAACAUACAUGUAACAGUAGAAACCUCUGUUCUCCUAUAAAGAGCCUUUGAGACUCCUAUAGUGAGAUUUUUUAGUUCACAAAGAAACACAUUAAAAGAGACCUACGUUUAUCAAGAUCUAUGUUUAGAUUCAGGAUCUUUUUCAGACCAUUCGCGUUUUUCUUCUCCCUUUUUAUUAACUUAUUUUUAGGGGAUUACCGUAACAUAGCCCAUCAUCAACCCCGCGCACACGAUCCCCGAAAUGUAAAGGAAUGUCAAGAACCGUAAUAAUUUAAUAUUUGGAUUGAAACAUUUAAUAACUUAUGAAAUAUUUAUAGCCAUUUUUUGCUAAGGGCUGGCUUUCUUUUAGGGCUCAUUUUGAGAGCGCGCUACAAUGAAAUUGAUUACCCUUAGUAAAUAAUUAACGUAUAGCGUCAGAAAGAUUUUACACAAACAGAAAAACCUCUUCAAAAUUUGUUAUUGUUAACCUGACAUAUCCAACUUCAAGAAAUAACCAGGAAGGAGAUCUGGAAAUAAAAAAGAAAAGUUGUUUUUUCUAAAAAUACUAAAUUAGAGUUUUUAACUCUAAAUUUAAGUUUUUAAUUUUAAUACCUUUUUUAAUUGCGAUAGCGCGAUGGUUUGGUUUCGGCUCAGCCCUACGGCAUUCAAAAGUCACAUUAAUAAAGUUAUUUUAAGAUAACAAGUGCUAUCUUAAGAUAACUCUAUUAAUGUGAUUUCGGAAUGCGUGUAUAUUCACAUAAAUGUCUUGAUUGUAAGAUAACUCGAGUUAUUUUAAGAUAACAUAAAUGUGAUAAUUCUAUCUUUUCUAAUGCGCAUAUGUGUAAAUGAACGUUGCUGAGGGUGCGGAUACGUAAAGUAGCUCACAAAACAACAGCCUACAUGAAUUUCCGGCCGUAUUGACAUUUAUUUUGAUACGUCAUUUGUAUUGUCCUUGUGGUGUCGCGUAUGUGCUCUGCUGUAGAGUUCGCUCUGCGGUGGAGAACAAGAUGCAUUUUGUUAGUUUUGUGUUGUGAUGUAUUGUCCCGUGUUAAUUAUGUAAAGAGAAUAAUUGUAAUUUUGGUACUAUUUUUAGUUAAAUUUUCUGCACAUCUUGCACAUCUUUUUUCUGCGCAUUCAGUCUUCAACAUGUAAUGACAGAGUCGAACAUACAUUUUUGUAUUAAAUUUGCUGUUGAGUGAAAUUUUUCUUUCAUACAUCACAGGAGUUGUCCUGUAUCUCAGCAUCUGUUUAGUUGUUUUCUCUCACAUGUAGUUGGCUUGGCUUACGCCACUAUAUAUCUAGUUAAAUCUUGGCAUUCAUUUUUUUGCUUUGCUAAAUUGUAUUUUUGGUAAUAUAGAACAGACAGCCAAUUACUGAUAUGAAAAAUCGUAAGAAUAAUAUUAAACGAAGAUCCAUACAAUGUAAAUGUAAGUCCUUGCUUUUUUAUUGCUUUAGACUCCUCAAAUAGAAAUAUGUGAACACAUCUUUUAGAGUACUAUUAGACCUCUAUGUAUUGUCUGCAAAUUCCGGAGAAUUGCUUCAAUAUUUUAUUGUUUUGUGUUUUGUGGAGAAACUGAUUACAUUACAACGAACGAGUGAAUGAUCAGUGAAAAACAAUCUAAGAAAUGUAUGGAUGCUGAGUCGUUUACAACACAUGUAAAAAAGUGCGCCAAAUAUAAUUUUUUUAAAAAAAUCUGCCGAAUUUAUGGAUACUGUGUCGUUGAUAGCAAGCACAAACUGUGUAUUUGCUUUCCCCUCUUGAAAAUUUUAGCGAAUGUGUGCAUGAGAGUUCUGUAACCAUGGAACCAAUAUACGUCUUAUGUGCCUUUAACAGAACACUGUGUGGUGAAAAUCAAUAUAAGAAUUGCGUCAAUGCUGUGGCGGUUUCACGCGCUGUUAGUAAAAGUAUGGAUGCUGUUUCUAACAAAACAUUAUAAUCAAUGCAAAAUGUUAUUUUUACAUUUGUUAAUGCUCGGGAACUGCAAUCUUUCUAAAAAGAGUAUGAAUGUCAUGUCAAGCAAAAAAGGUGUACUAAGCUAUGUUGUGGAAAUCAUUGCAGCAAAUAUAAGGUCGUGUUCCCAUAAGUUCUUAAAAAGAUGAUGAAUUUAGUGCAGCUCUAUCGGUAGAGCGUUUGAAUCAUCUCCUCUACUUGAGAUUAUAAGUUCAAUGUCCCCCCAUUGUCUAGUUAGUUUGUCAUUUCAUAAAGAUUUUUGUAGCAAUGGGAGCUAAACACUGGAAACCUGGUCCAUCCUGAAAUCCAUUGAGCACAGACCACAUUAAAUAUAAAUCACCAUCAGUGGUUUGAGGCAGAAUUGUAAGAGAAUUUACAUACUGGAUGGUUCUUUUGUUAUGAAAGUUUUUUUGCAGUAACUUUAAUGACUAAGGUGUCUUUUUAUGCCACUACCUGUACACAUGAUAGAGCUUAAAAGUACUGCCAAACUCUUUUUCCAUGUAUUG